rnacentral:rRNA from 1 species
UACAGAGGGUGCAAGCGUUAAUCGGAUUUACUGGGCGUAAAGGGCGCGUAGGUGGUUACGUAAGUGAGAUGUGAAAUCCCCGGGCUUAACCUGGGAACUGCAUCUUAUACUGCGUAGCUUGAGUGCAGUAGAGGGUAGUGGAAUUUCCGGUGUAGCGGUGAAAUGCGUAGAUAUCGGAAGGAACACCAGUGGCGAAGGCGGCUACCUGGACUGACACUGACACUGAGGCGCGAAAGCGUGGGGAGCAAACAGG